UACAGAGGGGGCAAGCGUUGUUCGGAAUUACUGGGCGUAAAGCGCGGGCAGGUGGUCUUUUAAGUCCUUUGUGAAAACCCGGGGCUCAACCCCGGGCCUGCAUCCGAUACUCCCGGGCUGGAGGCAGGUAGGGGAGAUCGGAAUUCCUGGUGUAGCGGUGAAAUGCGCAGAUAUCAGGAGGAACACCGGUGGCGAAGGCGGAUCUCUGGGCCUGUCCUGACGCUGAGGCGCGAAAGCUAGGGGAGCGAACAGG
rnacentral:rRNA from 1 species